GAUCAUGCCUCGCUGCUUUCAGAGAACUCACUGCCUGCUCCAUGGCUGGGUGGGCUGCCCACUUGCGCCAAGCUCUUGAUGUGACACCUCGCUUCACCAGAUCCUUGUCGGAGUCUCUCUUCCUACCUUGAAUCCCUCCGUGGCUGAAGACAGGGAGAGCAGGUGGCGGGGAGUGUUUUUUGAUGUUGGGACCGACGCGAGCACAUGCGGCUGCAUUAGAGUGUUUUACCGUUGAUUCAUCUACUUGAUUCGGCUCUUAACUGUCACGUACUCAAGCACACGGGAGGAAGAAGUGAAGACGCUUGCUCUUCAUGCAGCGCGCCUCUAGACUGUUAUUAAGGAAAGAACUCACCAAAGAGACCUCAUUAUUUAGCCGAGUGGCUGCUGGCUGUCUACCUGCCUGAGCCUUGCAGUGGCUCCGUGAUCUGUCACAUUACGCAUCACCUGGCUGCACACAGCGAGGAGAGGAGAGGAGAGGAAAGGAGAGGAGAGAAGUAAUGGCCCUGAGCUGGUGGUAUUUAAUGGAGCAGAUUAUUUGGGUGGGAAAGAUUAAUGGGGAACACUUUUUUUUCGGGGCUUUCACGACCGGCAGUGUGUGAUGAGAAAGAGAAAUAUGUGCAUAUUUAUCUGUCUCAUCAGUAUGCAUAAAACUGUAAUGUCGUUCUAAUAUUGAAGCUGAUAUGAUAUUGAGUCCCAGAAAUGGCCGAGCAGAUGUUGAUCUGUCGUGAUCGGGACACUGUCUUCGAGGUCUUGCCGAGAGGGAGAGAAAGAGAACAUAAAAGGGAGAGUAAAGGAGAGCUGAGGCGUGGAGACGAGUCUGAUACAAAGAGGCGGUGGACAAUGAUGAUUAGUCGGUUGUCACUGAUGAAGUGAGGAGUGUUUUGAGUUGCUGACACACUCCUUUACCAUCUGUGACAAAGGCUGGCCAUGGAAUUAUGGGCAAAUCAGCAAUGUGUAGCUUUUAAGUGCAUGACAUUCUCAAUUUAUUAAGAAUAAUACAUUACAGCAAUAACAGCAAUAGUACAGUUACUUUGUACUACAGUGCUGCUUCUUGUUCAUGUAAGGGCAUUUUUCUAUGCCAU